CAAAAAAUAAUAAUCAAGUAUUUGGCCAUUUAACAAAAGCACGUGAGGCAGCUUCAACAGUAUUGUAUACUAGACUUGGGUAGCUCAUGAGUGAGUGAGCUAAAAUGAAUGGCUCACUGAACUGAGGCAGUGAGGCAGUUCCUUCUAUAUGGCUCAUUUUGGCUCACUAGCUCAUUUUGGUUGACUAGCGCAUUUUUGCUCACUCGCUCAUUUUGCGUUCUUCUCAAUCGCAAAGUUAACGUUUUUUCCCGCGAAUUGUGUAUUUCAUCAAACUUUCAAUGUCGGUAAUUAGAAAGCACAGCGAAACUUUGACUCAUUUUGAGGACAUGGGAAAUCAGCAGAGAUGAUAUCGUGCGUUGCACAUCAAUUACUUUGGCGCAACUUCGCAAGUCGGCGGCUCUUUUUGGUAAAUUUUCGUUGGUGUUGGUGGCUGGACAGAUUAUCACGAGCUGCCUUAAAAGCUAAGCAUGUGGACAUGCUUGUCUUUCUUAAUCAUAACCACUGACCAAACAACACAUAGACUAGACAUGUAGAGAAACGUUUUUCCACGCCGCAAAAUCUGUGUAGCAGGUCCCGGCCAACUUCGUAUUCGCUCGGCUUGGUAUUGGCUGGCUCGGGUAAUGAAAGAUAGCACGACGAAAUCAGUGCGCUCUAAGCACGCAAACGAAAUGGUCAUGCAUGCGCUUUGCGUUUUUUGUCUUACUCUCCCUCUCUCUCUCUCUAACUCUCUC